GCCAGUGUGGCAUAGUGGUUUGAGUGCUGGACUAUGACUCUGGAGACCAGCGUUCAAUUCCUGUUUGGCC
rnacentral:tRNA from 1 species